rnacentral:rRNA from 1 species
GACGAACGCUGGCGGCGUGCUUAACACAUGCAAGUCGAACGGAAAGGCCCCUUUGGGGGUCCUCGAGUGGCGAACGGGUGAGUAACACGUGAGUAACCUGCCCUUGACUUCGGGAUAACUUCAGGAAACUGGGGCUAAUACCGGAUAGGAAUCCUUGCUGCAUGGUGGGGGUUGGAAAGCUUCGGCGGUUUUGGAUGGACUCGCGGCUUAUCAGCUUGUUGGUGGGGUAGUGGCUUACCAAGGCUUUGACGGGUAGCCGGCCUGAGAGGGCGACCGGCCACAUUGGGACUGAGAUACGGCCCAGACUCCUACGGGAGGCGGCAGUGGGGAAUAUUGCACAAUGGGCGGAGGCCUGAUGCAGCAACGCCGCGUGCGGGAUGACGGCCUUCGGGUUGUAAUCCGCUUUCAGCAGGGGCGAAGCUUUUGUGACGGUACCUGCAGAAGAAGCACCGGCUAACUACGUG